UGGGGAGAGCCUGCUCAUGCGUUCACAUAGGAACAGACUAGAUACACCAUGAAAACGUAUUGCAACAUCCUCUAUGGCUGCAUGUUCUGACCUCCAGAAAUGUUUGAUCUGCAGUGUUUCAGAAACAAUGAGGUAAAACCAGCUUGUGCUCACUGACUAAUCAGCAGCACUGACUGUGCCUGGGUUCCUGCUUCUGUUUUAGUCCUGAUGUCCAGCAAGAGAAAACCUCCGUGUCAGUUUUGAGCCAAGCACCUGUUUGUUGAGUACUUCACCAACCUGCUCACAUCACUUUCACCAAACUGCUUUGCUUUACCUAU
rnacentral:lncRNA from 1 species